rnacentral:misc_RNA from 1 species
GUAUAGGUUUAAUGACUACGACAAGCGCAAUCGUUAAAAGACAUUCUGUAACUUUAUAGUGUAUAUGAAAACAUAGCCUUGAAGAAGCAGGAGAAGGGCUUGCGCCCAAGCUCCCAAACCGCAUUUGACUGCGAGAGGUACGUUCAAGACUACAAAAUGUGCACAAGAGAAGAUAAAUAGAUGGACGAGCACAUGCUCAGUUAAGAGCCAGCAUCAGUACCAAUCAUAUUCAAUAAUGAUCCUUCCGCAGGUUCACCUACGGAAA